rnacentral:rRNA from 1 species
AUGUGGAAUGAUGAUCUUAAAAUCUCUGUUCAUAGUUCCUCCUUUCACUUUAUCCUAGCCAAUGUAGUUCAUCUAGCCUCAGGGGUUCACUUUUGUUUGAUAUGUAUAUAUGGUGAUCCUUAUCAUAGGCAGACUAGUGCCAUUUGGAAUCAGGUUUCCACUUUUGUGUAUGAUAACCUCGGAAAACCCAUGAUCUGUAUGGGAGACCUUAAUGAUAUUUUGUAUGAUACAAAUGGCUGUAAUGGUUGUGUAAAUUAUUUUCGUAUGUCUGCUUUU